rnacentral:rRNA from 1 species
AUGCUGGAGGUAUCAGAAGUGCGAAUGCUGACAUAAGUAACGAUAAAGCGGGUGAAAAGCCCGCUCGCCGGAAGACCAAGGGUUCCUGUCCAACGUUAAUCGGGGCAGGGUGAGUCGACCCCUAAGGCGAGGCCGAAAGGCGUAGUCGAUGGGAAACAGGUUAAUAUUCCUGUACUUGGUGUUACUGCGAAGGGGGGACGGAGAAGGCUAUGUUGGCCGGGCGACGGUUGUCCCGGUUUAAGCGUGUAGGCUGGUUUUCCAGGCAAAUCCGGAAAAUCAAGGCUGAGGCGUGAUGACGAGGCACUACGGUGCUGAAGCAACAAAUGCCCUGCUUCCAGGAAAAGCCUCUAAGCAUCAGGUAACAUCAAAUCGUACCCCAAACCGACACAGGUGGUCAGGUAGAGAAUACCAAGGCGCUUGAGAGAACUCGGGUGAAGGAACUAGGCAAAAUGGUGCCGUAACUUCGGGAGAAGGCACGCUGAUAUGUAGGUGAAGUCCCUCGCGGAUGGAGCUGAAAUCAGUCGAAGAUACCAGCUGGCUGCAACUGUUUAUUAAAAACACAGCACUGUGCAAACACGAAAGUGGACGUAUACGGUGUGACGCCUGCCCGGUGCCGGAAGGUUAAUUGAUGGGGUUAGCGGUAACGCGAAGCUCUUGAUCGAAGCCCCGGUAAACGGCGGCCGUAACUAUAACGGUCCUAAGGUAGCGAAAUUCCUUGUCGGGUAAGUUCCGACCUGCACGAAUGGCGUAAUGAUGGCCAGGCUGUCUCCACCCGAGACUCAGUGAAAUUGAACUCGCUGUGAAGAUGCAGUGUACCCGCGGCAAGACGGAAAGACCCCGUGAACCUUUACUAUAGCUUGACACUGAACAUUGAGCCUUGAUGUGUAGGAUAGGUGGGAGGCUUUGAAGUGUGGACGCCAGUCUGCAUGGAGCCGGCCUUGAAAUACCACCCUUUAAUGUUUGAUGUUCUAACGUUGGCCCCUGACCGGGGUUGCGGACAGUGUCUGGUGGGUAGUUUGACUGGGGCGGUCUCCUCCUAAAGAGUAACGGAGGAGCACGAAGGUUGGCUAAUCCUGGUCGGACAUCAGGAGGUUAGUGCAAUGGCAUAAGCCAGCUUGACUGCGAGCGUGACGGCGCGAGCAGGUGCGAAAGCAGGUCAUAGUGAUCCGGUGGUUCUGAAUGGAAGGGCCAUCGCUCAACGGAUAAAAGGUACUCCGGGGAUAACAGGCUGAUACCGCCCAAGAGUUCAUAUCGACGGCGGUGUUUGGCACCUCGAUGUCGGCUCAUCACAUCCUGGGGCUGAAGUAGGUCCCAAGGGUAUGGCUGUUCGCCAUUUAAAGUGGUACGCGAGCUGGGUUUAGAACGUCGUGAGACAGUUCGGUCCCUAUCUGCCGUGGGCGCUGGAGAACUGAGGGGGGCUGCUCCUAGUACGAGAGGACCGGAGUGGACGCAUCACUGGUGUUCGGGUUGUCAUGCCAAUGGCACUGCCCGGUAGCUAAAUGCGGAAGAGAUAAGUGCUGAAAGCAUCUAAGCACGAAACUUGCCCCGAGAUGAGUUCUCCCUGACUCCUUGAGAGUCCUGAAGGAACGUUGAAGACGACGACGUUGAUAGGCCGGGUGUGUAAGCGCAGCGAUGCGUUGAGCUAACCGGUACUAAUGAACCGUGAGGCUUAACCUUACAACGCCGAAGGUGUUU